AGCAGGAAAUGAAAGCCCAGAGUUGUCUGCAUCCACACCUCUUUUACCAUUUCCUCAUUCAACCUGGCCACGAGGAAGAAGCCAAUCUAUAGAAAAGGAAGAAGACAACAUGUAGAACCUGAGCUUGGAGAUGGAGGGAGAUGGUAAAAUGUAAUCACAUUGUCUAAGUCACUGGGCUUCCUGGGGCCAGCUUACUCCUGGACUUCCCUGCUAUUUGAACCCAUCAUUCCAGUUUGGCUUAACUCAGAAAUACAUCUCACUCUGAGAUGAAUAUGGAUGGUUACAAUAAAAAUUAAGUGCAUGUACGGUAAAUGGGCAUUGUUGGAUAAAUGCAGUGAUGGAAGAAAAUAAGAUGGUGGUCAUGCCAUUUCUACCUGACUUCCUUUUCUCCAACUUGAUGAUACUCUACCUUCAGAAACAGGAACCUUUGUUCUUAAACAGAGGAAGUUGUAAACUCUCCAAUAGCAAAUUUUAUUAACUCAUAGGCAAUACUAUAAAUGAUGGUACUCUAUUGAGUCAAUGCCUUCAACAUGAAUCAGGAGAUUAACUUUUGCUGCAAACUGUCAAUCUUUACUCCCAAAUUAUGAAUUGACAACUACUCCAUCAAUGCCCAAUUCUUAUUAAGUGCAUUUUCUACUGGCUCAAGUUCUAUCUUUGAUUGCUCUUUU
rnacentral:lncRNA from 1 species